AUGGCGGCCCAGAAGAGACCCUCCCAGCACAGAGACACGGGCAUCCUCGACUCCCUCGGCCGCUUCUUUGGCUCGGACAGGGGUGCGCCGAAGCGGGGCUCCGGCAAGGAUGGACACCACGCGGCCAGAACCACCCACUAUGGCUCCCUGCCCCAGAAGGCGCAGCACGGCCGGCCCCAAGACGAAAACCCCGUAGUGCACUUCUUCAAGAACAUCGUGACACCUCGCACACCUCCUCCAUCGCAAGGAAAGGGGCGAGGACUGUCCCUCAGCAGAUUUAGCUGGGGGGCUGAGGGCCAGAAGCCAGGAUUCGGCUAUGGAGGCAGAGCAUCUGACUACAAAUCGGCUCACAAGGGACUCAAGGGGCAUGACGCCCAGGGCACGCUUUCCAGAAUCUUCAAGCUGGGAGGACGAGACAGCCGUUCCGGGUCCCCGAUGGCAAGACGCUGAAGCCCAGCUCCCCUCCCGAACCCCGUCCCCAGCUUCUUAAUACAACCGCCUCGACACUAACCAUUGUCUAAAUUCCCUAGUGCAGCCGGCGCCCCCCCAACCCUGCCCAUACGCACGUCCUGCGGGCUCCUGGCCAGUGGCUCAAUGGAGAAG
rnacentral:lncRNA from 1 species